CCUCGCCCGGGGCCGGCGCAGCGCCGCGGGACCGGCACGGCCGGGGACGGGGCUGGGGCGGCCAGGGAGCGACCCACGGGACAGGGAUGGGCUGGGACGGGUGUCCCCUGUCACAGGGACACAGAGGAGUCUGAAAGGCUGAACUGGACUUUCUGGUUCAGACUGCAAAAGUAGCUGAGCCCAGUCCCACCAGGUUCUUCCCACUGGUCUGAGGAAUCAUUCUUUGUCUCUUUCCAAGGAAGUCAGCCACAGCUCUUUGCAGAAUUGCUGUGGGCCCUUGAUGAGGAAAGCUUUGGACAAAAUCUUCUUCCAGACUUUCACACCCAGGAGGCCACAGGAUUAAACACUUUUUUUGGCACAAAUAUCCUCACAGUUUUUUAUUUGGCCUGAAUAAAUCUGCACAACUGGAAUGCUGUUCUCCAGUCCUCUCCUGCCAGCACUCCUUGGGAACCACAUUCCACGCUUCUCCUUUUCCAGGUGCAUUUCUCCUCUCCAACACUGAAACCAGUGAGUUGUAGCUGUAAAAAUGAAAAUGUCAUCAUUCAGGGCAGGCAGAUGAAGACAUUUAUCGUGGAGUUCAGGCAAGAAGAAGUAAGAAAGUUUAUCACACUGUGACAGAAGAUGCAGCUUUGGUGCUGUCAGAGGGAGUGUAAAUCUGAGAAGGAAAUUUUUUAAUGCAUCAGUUCCCCUGGCAACAUUUUCUUUAGCUUUAGAAAUGCUUUGUCUCUGAUUCAAGCAGCUUUAAUUGCUCUGGUUAUCCUUCAGUUUAUUCUAAAGAACUUUUCAAUGCAUGAUAAUGUGCCAAGAGAAGGGAAACAUCAUUCUCUACACUCAUAAUCAUGAUUGCAUUUUUCAUUAUUGCUUAAGGGCAUGCUUUUUAGACUCUUCCUGAGGCUUACAUGGAAAACUAGAUUCUUCAAGGAGUUCAAACAAAGUGCAAAUCUAUCCAGAGCUCCUUUAAAACUGGUGCUCACCACCUCUCUAGCAAGCACAGUGAGUCCAGCUCUGGGCACAGAAGUCCAGAUGAACAAAUGGACAGCUUUGUCAGAGGAAUGCACACACAGACACUGAGUCCAGGGCUCCAAAUCCCACAGGACUUCCCAGAAAUUUACCAUGAGACCAUGGAAUUAAACCCCUUUUCACACAGAAUCCCACAGAAUUGUUAGGAUUGGAAGGGACCUCUGAAGUUCAUCUUGUCCAACACCCCCAGGCCUUUCUUAUUUUCCUGAUGAUUUUGCAAGGGCUGCCAGUUAUGAGAAACGUUCAUACUCACACCUCUGAAAAUAGAAUAUUAAUGAAUGUUCCCCAAGUGCCCCACAGGCAUGAUCCAGAGUGACAACGCCAUGAUGAGAGAGCAGAGUGUCACCAGCACACUAGGUGUGAUAUUGGGAGAGCUGUUUCAUUUUCAUGAAGCACAUCCCUGUGACUGACAUCUUGCUGCUCCCUUUGGGCAUUCAGUUGAGAUCACCAAGUAGAAAUGGCAGGAGUUUUUCUGGAAAUCAAUGUUUCCUCUGUGCUGUUUGUGAUACCAGGCCUGUGACUGAAAGCUGCCCUUUUGCAGUAAGACACUGUAAGGCUCUGGAGAGAUGGUUUCAGAUACUCAAUUUCUCUUUGUGUGGUACAAUCACUGCUGUAUUUUGGCUUUCUCCUGUAAAGGAGCAGUGAAUUUUAUUUUGAUAUUCAGGCUGAGAGAGUUGGGGCUGUUCACACCAGAGAAAUCCCCAGGGAGAACUUACUGCAUUUUUCCAUUAUCUGAAGGGGCUACAAGAGAGCUGGAGAGAGAUUUUUUACAAGGCUUUGUACUGAUAGGACAAGGGGUAAUGGCUUUAAACUGAAGGAGGGUCAAUUUAAACUAGAUAUGAGAGAGAAUUUUUUUUUACAAUGAGCAUGAGGAAAACCACAACAGGUUGUCCAGAGAGGUGGUGGAUUCCCAAUCCUUGGAAAACUUCAAGGCCAGGCUGGACAGAACACUGACAGAGUUGAAAAUGUCACUGCCCACAGCAGAGGGGAUGGGACUGGAUGACCUUUAAAGGGUCCUUUCAACCCAACCACUCAGAUUUCAUGAUUCUGUAUGGGCAUUUCCUUUGAAACACUUGUAGACAAAAUGAGAUCCCCUAAAACCUGAGGGAGCUAGUGAGUACUGCAAGAUCUCAAAAAUAGAGUAAAGGCUGACAUUUUAAAGGAUAAACCUUCCAGUCCUUUCCUGUUCCAUCUCCCCUGGAAGGUGGUGUGGCUCAGGAAACCUGCCAGAGUCCCACCCACAGGGUUUGGCCUCAGGAUGAGGAGCUGACAUCCCCAAAAUGAGCUGAGGUGCCUGCCCUGGAUUGCCAAGCAGAUUGCAUUCUGUUUGCCAUCUGUAGGGCAGUUGUCUUCUGUUCAGUGGGAAGUUUUCCUUAUCUCUGCCACAACCACUCCUCCCUCUGGGGACAUCUGCUGAUAACAGGCUAUGGGAUGUCCCUGCAUGGCUGAUAAGAACUACAGCAUCCAUUGGGACAUGCUCCACCCAGAGGGAGGAGCCAAGCAUUCCUACCUGGAUAGAAUCUUGAGAUUUGGAACACCAGCACAGCUUCUCCACUGGAUUUCCUAGAGGGGCAGCUGUCUCUUCUUCCACUGGAUCUUCUGAAGAAGACAACACCCUUCUACAGGAUAUCCCUGCUCCAGCAGAACCACACCUGACUG